rnacentral:lncRNA from 1 species
AUGGGUCAGAAAACAUCUGUGAUUCCAGCAGCCAACUACAGUGUGUUUGCUGAUUCUCUGCUCACCUCAGAGCACUGGAAGGGAAUAGAAGUUGACAGGUCUCUGCAGAUGUUUUCUUUUCUCAACUCCACGGAGGAGCUGAACUGUUUCAGAGACCAGGUUUUGUUUGGGGAAGACUUGAGCAUUGCUGCUAGCUCUUUGCAGAACGUGGGAGGUGCACUGAAAGGGAUCUCUGUUGUGCCUAAUGCUGUUGGACUGGGAGCUCUGGUCAUUGCCAUGAUCCUGGAUGUUUUUGCCAAGUCUCUCAAUAAGCAAACACUAGGAACCGCUGAAAUGUUGGAGAGAGUAUUUGCUCAAGAGAAGGCCAAUGAGGUCAGAGAUCUAAUGGAGGAGUACCUGAAACGUCUGCAGAUCAACUUGGCGCAUCCACAGCUUCAGCUAGCUGAAACCAGGAGGGCAGAGGUGGAGCUGAGUGCUCAGCUCACACGUCUGAAGAAUUCCAUGGUGAAGGAUGGACAUAUGGGGACACGCUUUCUAAAGCAGUGGGUGAACGGAGCUGCUUUCCACACCCAGAUGUUGAUCCAUCAGGCUCGUCUGGAGGGGACGCUGGGAUCCAGAGCCUUGAGAGCAGCAGAAGUCUAUCAUCAACAGCUGAACCUUCUUCUCAAUCAAUACAAGAAAUUCCUGAAAACUGUUGUUUUUGUGGGUCCAGAGGAUAAUACUUGUUUCAGGUACUGUUUGGAUCGAGACAAACAUUUCUGUCAGAUAACCUACAGGGAGUUUUCCAGAUCACGUGUACUUGUGCCACAUCCCGACCCAGACUGCCACCUAACGAGAAAAGCUGAUCAAUUGCUUGACGCAAUGUUUGUUAAACCUCAGUUGACUUCGACUACGACAUAUUUUUUAGAUCUACAAACCAACAUUCCCACUCUUGUGCAACAAAACAGCUCUUUUCAUCUCUAAAUUGAAAUUGAAGAUGCAAGAGUCGCUCAGAAAAGAGUUUCUGGAAAAGUGCCUUUAAAUAUUAAAAUUGUAUUAUUAUUAAAUAUUUAUGGAUUGGUUGGACCUCAGUGUGGACUGAAGGCUACUGACCUUGGGAGUCAUAGUAGAAUAACACAACCGCUGAUGUUGGUAACUUGCAAAUUUGAGCCAGCUGGUGUUUUUAUUAUUUCACUGGAACUACAAAUAAAUUGAAGGGUACCUGUAGUGAAACA